rnacentral:rRNA from 1 species
CGGGGGUGCAGCAAUGCAUCUUAGUGGCGGACGGGUGAGUAACACGUGAACAACCUGCCCAUAGCUGGGGGAUAACGCAUGGAAACGUGCGCUAAUACCGCAUAAGACCACGGUAUGGCAUCAUACAGGGGUCAAAGGAGCAAUCCGGCAAUGGAGGGGUUCGCGUCCCAUUAGGUAGUUGGUGAGGUAACGGCCCACCAAGCCGACGAUGGGUAGCCGAGCUGAGAGGCUGAACGGCCACACUGGAACUGAGAAACGGUCCAGACUCCUACGGGAGGCAGCAGGGAGGAAUAUUGGGCAAUGGGGGGAACCCUGACCCAGCAACGCCGCGUGAAGGAAGAAGGCCUUCGGGUUGUAAACUUCUGUGACAGGGGAAGAAAGAAAUGACGGUACCCUGAGAGGAAGCCACGGCAAACUACGUGCCAGCAGCCGCGGUAAUACGUAGGUGGCGAGCGUUGUCCGGAAUCACUGGGCGUAAAGGGCGCGUAGGCGGUCAUGCAAGUCGCAUGUG